UGAAAUAAAUCUGGAAUAGAAAAAACUAAGUUGUGGAAAAUGUUUAGUCAUUAAAAAUGAAUUCAUCCAUAUUGUAACACAGUGCUUCCGUGCGUCAUUGUUGAAACGGUUUUAAAGGAAAGACACAAAUUAUUAACAGCUCUGGUAGGUUCUGAGGCCUUUCGGAGGAUCUGAAUUCAGUGACAUUUCCCCGCAGAGUAAAAUAUGAUUAGUCUGAGCCGCUGUCGCCGAGGCACUUGUGCCCGGGUAAAGUCUGACGUCUCGAGUCCUCCUGUCAUCCUCCCACUCGAGGUGACGCUCUCCCCGCCUCGCAAAAUGUCACUCCAGCUCGGGCGCUUUUCUCUUCCUGCCGCUUGUCAGGCGGCCAUCGCUCGCUGCUCUUUGCCGCUCCGUCGCCUCGUCUCCGCCCGCAUCGCGGAGCCGUCCGUCACCGCGUAGCUGCGGCGCUCCGACCCAGAGACACUCCGGCGUAGAGCUUCAGGUCAUUUAACACCCUGCAGCUACAUGCGUUAGCGUGCUGGAGGACGGCAGCCUGAGCGUGGGCCGAGUCUCCGGGAACUCGUCCUGGAUUAUUUCUGCUCUUCGGGACCAUGGAUUGGAGUAAUAGACUCCUCUGAGAUGUGCUCUGCACGCUUUAAAGGGUUAGUAUUGUUACCCUUUGUGCCCUCAGUGUUGUACGUGACGGCCAAAGAAGAUAGAUAAGCGGGCGUGGUCAUCGCGAUGUUGGUUUGUGGACAUGGAGCUUAAAGGGAUGAAGCGUUCAGUGGAUGAUGCUGCUUUGAACGAUGUAAUCUGUGUACUGUGUAGUCCAAUUUUAAAGUUAAUCCACAAUGUUGACAACCACUGCUCUAUUUCUUCGGCAUCUCAACAUUAACAUGAACAGAAAAGCGUUAUCAAGUUUUUUUUAAUGAAUACGCCCUGAUCCUCCCUCUACAGACCUUUAGCUCCCUCUGGUCCAACGUUCUCCAUCCUUCUCUUCUGGUGCGGUUUAAAAUACGUCCACUCCACUCCUUCCUUUUUUUUAUUGUUAUUCAAGAUGCCAAUUACUGUUAGAAUAUGGUGCAGGGUUAAAUAUUUGAAUGUAUGUAUUUCUACCUGCAAAGACGAGGGAAUAUAAAGUGUGUGAGCAAUGCUGCUGCGGGAGGAACGUCUUUUUUCUCGUUAUCACUCUCCAGCUUGUAUCUCAGUCAAAAGGCCAAAUCCCUCCUUGCUGUGCAGGCCUGACCUUCUGCAGGAAUCAGAGGAUUAUGGGUAAUGGUCUGUGUAUCCGGUGCACUUAACAAAACAUCCGUGUGCGAUUUGGAUCCGACUCGCCGUUGUCAAUCUGCGGGUAAAAUAAAGCGGAGAUAAGCCGCAGCUCCUUGAAGUGUUAUAUUUCAUUUCAGCGCCGGCUGCGGUUUGAUCGUAUCACACCGGAGGCCUGCGUGUUAAACUGCACCACCUCCAUGCGCUGCUUUGACAAGAUCUUCAGGCUGGAGGGCGGCUUGGCUUUAGCUCCAACACUUCAGCGCUUCUCUUUCCGUGGUUUACCGCCGGCGUCUGAUGAUGCAACAGCGUCUCAACCGCUCCAAAAGAGAGGGAGGACGGACGAGGACGGACGAGGACGCAGCCAGACGUGUUUCUCAGGGAGAGAAAAGAAAUCGCUGGAAAUGACCAGAAAAUGCAAAUCAUUCUGCUCUUUAAAAAAAGAUCAAUUCUUUGGAGCCUUUUCUCGAAACAAACUCUUACAGGAUAAUGGUCUGAAACCCUCCAAAGCAACACUACUGCAUUGACACAAGGGUGAAACGAGUGCAUGCAGUGAUUUUAUAUAUCGAGGCUGUUCUUUAAAGGCGCCUCAGGUUGUUUCAUGCGUAAUGCUUGAAUUAGCUGUGAGGACUUUUCCUUUGCAGAUCAAAUGUUGCAGUCGAGAGUUUAUGAUAUAAAUGUACAGAGGAUGAACCGACUGUAGACUCUUCUAAACGGGGAGGCCGGCGUCAUCUCGUCUCUGCAGUGCGAGUGAGAAAGCGGCGUUUCCUCGGCGGAGCUCAUGAUGUAACCGCGUGAAAAGUGUUUUCUAACCGAGACGCGUGAUCCGCAUGUGAGAUAAACUGCGAGGUUUCGGAUCAAAGGCGGCGCGUCGCUGUCGUCUUCACGGGCUCAUCAAAGUAGAGAGCAAGUCGCAGUGGGGCUAAUUACAGGCCCGGCGCCGCGGUGACAUUGGUUCUUCCUCCAGUGGAAGAGGCCGUCGAGCUUCCUGGAUGGCGUUCACAUAUGAGGCGCCGUUUGUCAAAUGUUGCACGUUCUAAAAUCCUGCGCAGUUUUGGUACGUUUAGCAUUAUCAUAUGCAAACAUUUAGAGAGAAAAUUCAUGUAGAUUCAUAGAAAAAGAACCAAGAAACAAAACCCGAUUAGUAGCACCUUAGAAGAAGAACGUCUGGGAGGGUCAGAGUAAAAGUUUAACUUGGCAGCCAAUCAGUGAACAGACUCCUGUGACACGUUGACCUUUGUUCCUCCAGCCUGAAACGCACAAAGAAGAAUGGACACUUCAUUUAAUGGCGAUGUGUCUCCAGCCGUCCCCCUCCUCUGCUCGUCUGAAUGAAGACUUCCUCCAACACGCCGACCGUCGCUCUGCUAUUCUUAUCUCGCCGAGUGACAACAGAAGAAACUUUAAAUUGGGCCUCAAAGAAGCGACUGCCGAGGAGAGAAACGUCCGGAAGCUGAUUCCAGCUCACGGAACAGAAGCGUCGCGUGCAAAGGAUUGUGGGUAUUUUUGGAGGAUUAACGCGUCCUUUAAUAUCUUCCAAUUGAAGGAUUCAGCUCUCAGAAUAAUUCUGAGGAUCCUUUUUUAUAUUUCUGAGAGGACAGAUUUAGUACAUACUUAUUAUUAUAAGUAUUAGUAUUAUUUUACACAAAGAAAGUAUAACUACUAUCAUUAUUUUGGUGGAUUGAACUGGUCUGACGGGCUUUGAUUCACGUCCCGUUCACGUCUGAGAAAGACUAACAAAUAAAAAACAAAUUUCCGAAUCCAA